UACGUAGGGUGCGAGCGUUGUCCGGAAUUAUUGGGCGUAAAGAGCUUGUAGGCGGUUUGUCGCGUCUGCCGUGAAAUUUCGAGGCUCAACCUCGAACUUGCGGUGGGUACGGGCAGACUAGAGUGUGGUAGGGGAGACUGGAAUUCCUGGUGUAGCGGUGAAAUGCGCAGAUAUCAGGAGGAACACCGGUGGCGAAGGCGGGUCUCUGGGCCGAUGACUGACGCUGAGGAGCGAAAGCGUGGGGAGCGAACAGG
rnacentral:rRNA from 1 species